UACGGAGGGAGCUAGCGUUGUUCGGAAUUACUGGGCGUAAAGCGCACGUAGGCGGCUUUGUAAGUUAGAGGUGAAAGCCCGGGGCUCAACUCCGGAAUUGCCUUUAAGACUGCAUCGCUAGAACGUCGGAGAGGUAAGUGGAAUUCCGAGUGUAGAGGUGAAAUUCGUAGAUAUUCGGAAGAACACCAGUGGCGAAGGCGACUUACUGGACGACUGUUGACACUGAGGUGCGAAAGCGUGGGGAGCAAACAGG
rnacentral:rRNA from 1 species